rnacentral:rRNA from 1 species
AGGAUGAACGCUGGCGGUCUGCUUAACACAUGCAAGUCGAACGGGCGUAGCAAUACGUUAGUGGCGGACGGGUGAGUAACGCGUGAGAAUCUACCUUCAGGACGGAGACAACAGUUGGAAACGACUGCUAACCCCCGAUGUACCGAAAGGGCAAAUAUUUAUAGCCUGAAGAAGAGCUCGCGUCCGAUUAGCUAGUUGGAGAGGUAAAAGCUCACCAAGGCGACGAUCGGUAGCUGGUCUGAGAGGACGAUCAGCCACACUGGGACUGAGACACGGCCCAGACUCCUACGGGAGGCAGCAGUGGGAAUUUCGCAAUGGGCGAAAGCCUGACGGAGCAAGACCGCGUGGGGGAAGAAGGCUCUUGGGUUGUAAACCCCCUUUUCUCUGGGAAGACGCAAUGACGGUACCAGAGGAAUCAGCAUCGGCUAACUCCGCGCCAGCAGCCGC